AAUAAUUCCCGGUUGCCAUUUUCUGACAUUUGAAAAGAUCUGAAGAUACGCCCCUUGGAUGCCUGCAGAGAAGCUCUGGGGCUUCAGUCAAUGACUCAGGGUAGCCACCGAACAUGAUGCUCGGGCAGUGGGUGCCACCUGGACUCCACUCUCCCCUCUCUCUGGGAUCAUAGAGUCCAAGGUGUUCUGUGGCCUCUCGGCCAAUCCCAGCAGCUCAGCGUGCAGAAGACCGAGGAGCCAUUGGAAUUCAACACAACACGAAAUAAUCAACAAAUUCGGGGAAUGUUAAUCUGACCAUCACCAGUUACAAAUGAUGUUUCAUGCUACCUUCUAUUCCUGCCUUCAUAAAUCAAGCUCUAAAUCUCCAGGAAAAAAUGUGCUCAGGAUGGCCAGAGAAAUGUCCUUCCAACUGUGCAUGGAAAGGUAUGAUUUUGUGCAGCAGGUGAAGGACUGGUUAGAGUAAGUGUGUGCUGAGCUUUUGUGUUUGAAAGCGAGCCUGUGCACUUCUAACGAUUGGAAGGUUUCCUUGCCUUCUCCGAUCUUACACACAGCAAGGACAGCAAAGCCUUCCAGACCUGCCUGUGACAUGCACUGCACAUUCUAAAGAUGCCUAUGCAAUGGAAAACACCACUGUCUGCUCCAGCACAGCUGCCAUUCUUCCAUCUUAUCGACCUUAAUGCAACAACUCCUCACAGGCAGAGAUUUUAAAAUGUGUUCUUGGCAGAAGAGAGACUCAAAGAUGGGACAAAUGUGUCAUUUAAAUGCCUGUUAAAAUGGAAACAGACAUAGUAUAGUCAGAGGAUUGUGGCAGCUAAGAACAUAGUCUCUGGAGCAAAUCUGCAUGGGUGGCAAUGCCAAGCACAUGAGGUCCUAGUUGUAUGAACUUAGGAAAAGAAAAAGAGAACAUAUAUCCCCCUACCUUUUGAUUUCCAACAGUCUACUGAGAGGCCAAGAUUAUUUGCAGGGAAAGAAAAGGGGAAUGCCAUCCCCACCCUCUCGCAGCUACGUGCCAGUUCCAGAGCACCUGUUCCCCUCUACUUUGAAAAGGUCAAAAUGUUUUGCCAGUAACUCCCAAAUCAUCUACAGCCAAGGAGAAAAGUGUUUCAAGACAGAGGUGCUCAAUGGUAUCAAAUACUGCCAACAGACCAAGUAAUACAUGCAUUGAAGUGUCUACUGGAUCUAGCUAUAUGAAUUUUUAAUUUAGGACACUUAGGCCAUACUGAAGCAAGGUGACAAAAUGAAUAGCUACAAUGUCUCGUGAAUCUUGGGUUUCCAUUCACCCUGGUAUUCAAGAGAAAUUCUUGCAUCAUGGAAGUUGCAGUUGGAUAGGACUUUCUCAGCUGAACACUGUCAUCUGCCAGAGCUUCAGGCAAGAACCCAGAACAGAUGAAACCCCAGACAUGACAAAAUAAGCCAAAGAAUACCAGGCCAAGGUGUGAAAGGCCAGAUGAGAACAAGCAGCGUACACGAUUCUGUUGCCAACAGAUCUCCCCUAACAGUGUCGUGCACCAAAUUUCCACAGUGAAUGUCAGGAAAAAAUGGCAAUUGAGGUGGGUGGUCAAAAGAGAAGCACAGUCUAUGAUGAAGUCACCCCAGAGAAGUCCUUUUUCCGUUUUCUCCUGAGAAAUUACCAGAAGAAAUUAAAAUCCUUUUGAGUAUUGCA
rnacentral:lncRNA from 1 species